rnacentral:tRNA from 1 species
GGGACUAUAGCGCAGUUGGUCAGCGCACACCGCCGAUAACGGUGAGGCCGGUGGUUCGAAUCCACCUAGUCCUACCA